ACGGACAAACAAAACACGCUUCGUAUAUCCCCGGAAAUACGGUCCGGAAGUCUCUACCAGGUUACCGUAAAUAACCUGACUAUGAAGGUGGAUUUUUUCCCG
rnacentral:ncRNA from 2 species